CCCAAACAACGGGAUGAUGAAAAUGCUCAUCAACAUGAAAUUCCCAACGAACGGGCGGAUGACAAUAUGGAAAUUGUGAUAAAGAUGACAAAGAUGGAAACAAAGAUACAAAGAUUGCAGCAAGAGUUGGAGCAAUUACAAACGUCCGAAGCAGACCUUAAACGAAGAAUUGAUGUUGUUCGAGCUAAGAGGGUUAGGAUCCGGAGGAUGACAAUGCUCAUCAACAUGAAAUUCCCAACCAACAAGAAAAUGUCCAUGCUCAUCAACAUGAAAUUUCCAACCAACAGGAAAAUGACCAUGCUCAUCAACAUGAAAUUUCCAACCAACAGGAAAAUGACCAUGCUCAUCGACAUGAAAUUCCCAAUCAACGGGAAAAUGGCAAUGGCCAUCAACAUCUCCCAAUCAAUGGGAUAAUGACAAUGCUCAUCAACAUCUCCCCAAUCAAUGGUACAGUACCAAUAUUGAACAGCAGCUGAUGCUUAGUCGAUGGUAUAAUUCAGUUUGUCAAAACCAAGAAGAAUACAACGACAACCAGAUUCUGCAAGAGAACGAGCAAUGUUCAGGUUGUUCUUUAUGCUUUAUGAA